rnacentral:rRNA from 1 species
UCUUGCCCCAGGAUGAACGCUGGCGGCGUGCCUAAUACAUGCAAGUCGAGCGAACAGAUAAGGAGCUGUGCUCCUUUGACGUUAGCGGCGGACGGGUGAGUAACACGUGGGUAACCUACCUAUAAGACUGGAAUAACUCCGGGAAACCGGGGCUAAUGCCGGAUAACAUGUUGAACCGCAUGGUUCUACAGUGAAAGGCGGCUUUGCUGUCACUUAUAGAUGGACCCGCGCCGUAUUAGCUAGUUGGUGAGGUAACGGCUCACCAAGGCAACGAUACGUAGCCGACCUGAGAGGGUGAUCGGCCACACUGGAACUGAGACACGGUCCAGACUCCUACGGGAGGCAGCAGUAGGGAAUCUUCCGCAAUGGGCGAAAGCUGACGGAGCAACGCCGCGUGAGUGAUGAAGGUCUUCGGAUCGUAAAACUCUGUUAUUAGGGAAGAACAAAUGCGUAAGUAACUGUGCGCGUCUUGACGGUACCUAAUCAGAAAGCCACGGCUAACUACGUGCCAGCAGCCGCGGUAAUACGUAGGUGGCAAGCGUUAUCCGGAAUUAUUGGGCGUAAAGCGCGCGUAGGCGGUUUUUUAAGUCUGAUGUGAAAGCCCACGGCUCAACCGUGGAGGGUCAUUGGAAACUGAAAAACUUGAGUGCAGAAGAGGAAAGUGGAAUUCCAUGUGUAGCGGUGAAAUGCGCAGAGAUAUGGAGGAACACCAGUGGCGAAGGCGACUUUCUGGUCUGUAACUGACGCUGAUGUGCGAAAGCGUGGGGAUCAAACAGGAUGGGAUACGCUGGU